rnacentral:rRNA from 1 species
GAUGAACGCUAGCGGCAGGCCUAAUACAUGCAAGUCGAGGGGUAUGGGUUGCUUGCAACCCAGAGACCGGCGCACGGGUGUGUAACGCGUAUGCAAUCUACCUUAAUCAGGGGGAUAGCCCGGAGAAAUCCGGAUUAACACCGCAUAACAUUGAGUUGUGGCAUCACAGUUCAAUCAAAUAUUUAUAGGAUUAAGAUGAGCAUGCGUGACAUUAGUUAGUUGGUGAGGUAACGGCUCACCAAGACCACGAUGUCUAGGGGAUCUGAGAGGAUGACCCCCCACACUGGUACUGAGACACGGACCAGACUCCUACGGGAGGCAGCAGUAAGGAAUAUUGGUCAAUGGGCGCAAGCCUGAACCAGCCAUGCCGCGUGCAGGAAGACGGCCCUAUGGGUUGUAAACUGCUUUUGUACCGGAAUAAACCUUCUCUUGCGAGAGAAGCUGAACGUACGGUAAGAAUAAGGAUCGGCUAACUCCGUG